rnacentral:lncRNA from 1 species
AUGCACCACGCAGGUCAACCUCAGCCGGGGACGCGUGUGGGGCAAAUCAAAUGUUCCACUGCUCUGUGCACGUCCGCCAAUGACUUUGAAAGCGCCGCGAGUAUGGACUUGGGGGUUGCAAAUAAAUUUGAGAGAGUAGGAGACUUUGCAAACAUGGAAUCCAUGAAUCAUGAGGCCCGACUUAUAUUCACGGCUGGUUGUUGGGCAUCAAGACAAUCUGGAAGGAUCCAAGAAACCGGAACUUCUCCCUGGAGAGACACAAAUGGCAGGCAGUUUCCUCACAGAAAUGCCGAGACCGCUGUUCUGGAGUCAGAAGACCAGAGUUCAAAUCCUAAACUCCCAUUGGCAAAGUAAGAACCCAGACCCAGCAGGUUGAUCUUGUCUUUUUUUAUUUUUUAUUUUUUUUUUUGGCGGGGGGGGGGGGGGAGGAGCAGGUUCAGUUUCGACAUCUGUAAAGGAGGGAUAACAAUACCUACGGUUCCAGUUUUUUGGUGAAGAUUAAACCAAGAGAAUGUACAGGACAUGCAUGGCACCCAGUGAGGACUCACGGAGGCUCACCACCUGGGGUGGGGUUCCUGUUGUUUUGUUAUGACUUGGGUACAGUUUAGAUCGGGCUCAAUGACUCAGUCAGGAUUGAAUUGGUGUGGUUAUUCGUUUCCUGGGCAACCCUGAGCCCUCCCUUUGUUUCAGUUAGCAGAUUGGUGCUCAGAGGCAGAAGCUGCCAGAAGUGGACACGAUAAGGAAGAGAGAAACACUGUAUGAACCGUCCGCUGGGAAACCUCCGCAGUCUGGGGCCCUCUGGUGCAGGGACUAACAACCGUAUUUACCCCACUACCCACUACAUCCGGGUUCAUUCACCUUCAUCCCUAAUGAAGAUGGGGAGACACCAUGGAAAGCCUCACCUUGCGUUUAAAAAAAUUUUUUUUAAAUGUUUGUUUAUUUUUGAGAGAGAGAGAGAGAGAGACAGAGUAGAGUGUGAGCGGGGCAGGGGCAGAGAGAGAGGGAGACACAGAAUCUGAAGCAGGCUCCAGGCUCUGAGCUGUCAGCACAGAGCCCGACGCGGGGCUUGAAUCCACAAACUAAGCCUCACCUUGCGUUUUAGCACGUCAUGCACUAGGCAGAGAAAUAAACCGGAGAAUGUAAUUGCUCA